GGGUGCAAACGAUGUGUCUUGUAGGAGUGGCGUAUGGUGAGAAGGGAAAGGGACAUGGGCUUAGUAGUAGGCAAGGGGUAGAGUAGGCAAGGGAACUCUCGACGUCGCCGCUGUACCCGCCGCCGCCGCGUCGGCCCCUACGGCUACCCACCCGCCUAGUCCUGGUCCCCUUGCCGCCCUCGGCGCCGCCCCCACUCCGCUUCGCCAGCCUCUAGAUAUGGAUGCUCCGGCCAACCGUGUAGAUGCCAUACUUGACCUCGCACGCCGCCCUGUUCUUCAUGGCUGAGCGGUAGCGUUCAGAAGAGCUCGUCGAGCAGUUAGCGCACCUCCACCAGGUCGAGCUGCUCAGGUGUCUGGAGGAAGCGUAUACCGCGUAGUGCCUGCUGCUGCGGCGACGGGGCCCGCGACGGCUGAGGUUGUUACCGAGGCAGGCGACGUUGCCGCACCCCUCGGGGCGACCAGUCGUCGGCCCGCAGUUCGACACGACGCUCGAGUUGCCGUUGGCGUUGUCGCUGAAGACGCCGGGCGAGUGGAGGAAACUGACCUUGCUGCGGCUGGGUGCGGCGUAGCCUUGUAGUAGGUAGCUAUGGUGAACGUGGUAGACCCUGCAACUUGCACUCCAUCAGCUGUGGGUCGAGUAUCGGGUACUGUUUCUCCAGAUACUGUAUCGGACCCCACCGCGACCACAGAAACGUAGACAAAGACGCCUACCGAGCCAGGCGCACAAACUAGAAGCCCUAUUCCUUGUAAGGUGUUAGUAGAUACUCUCAUCAAGACCGCCGCCGAGGUUAAGACGACGAUGCCUACCACCCCGACACAACGGCUGUGGUAACCAAUCCGACCCCACCUUGUUCGUCCUGGGUUCCAUAUACCGUUGUUAGUAGUACCUAUCGGGGUUCCACCAGCACGAACUGUAAGCGAUGGGUUGUGACGGACAGCAACUUGAGGUGGCGGUAGUACGAGGACACUUACGUUAGCGUACCCGCGGAGUGAGAAGAACGGUGUAAACGUGUCGACCCCUACUGAGCGUUCGUGACUAUACCCUGGAGAGGAGGUACCCGUGCCCCUUGUUAUCGCCUCCGUUACCUUUACCUUUACCGUUACGACGACGUCGACGUCGUCGUCUCCCACCAGAACUGGGAUAUAACCGAAUGUGACGUCCCCGCCUCCACCUCGUCGACGUCACCAGUCGAUGGGUCGGACUGACCCAACGGUAACAUAAGCGGUUAUUUGACGUCUAAGAGUCCCAGACUAAAGAAGUAAGAUCGAAAUAGUUACCACCCCGUCUUUCUCCGUUUCUUCGGGUAGUACCUACUACUCUCAAGUCCGUUACCCUCCUGCCACUGAAUAUACACCAACUAUUCUUUACCGAAUACAACUAAACUGCGUCGUCUC
rnacentral:rRNA from 1 species